ACUGAGCUGCCCCCAGAGGGAAUCUAGAACUAGAACUUAGCAGAGAAAAAUGUUCAAAGAGGUGCAAUGUUUGUAAAAUAAAACAUGAGCUCUCUGAAAAUAUGCCCAUUAAAAGAAGUCAGAGUACAGUGAAAAAAAAGAAAGAGGAAGAGAGAGAAACAGAAGUCCUAGAAGAGAAGUUCCUGUAAAAUAAAACCAGUGAUUGUCUUGUAAGUUUGGGGGUGACAGGUCCCCUUGGCCUUCAGGAGGCAGAGCACUCCAGGGUGAAUGACGGAGACAUAUUUACUGACCUUGAGACCCAAGCCACGCUGAUAGUUCUUCAGGCCUGCAAGUGAUACUGUCAGAAAACAUAGGCGGAGCCAGUGUACUGCGCUAAGAGGAAGUGUUCACGGAGCAAGAACCUGGGCCACACGCUGCAGGAUUGGGAAACCCCAGAACGUGACUCGUCACAGCCAUAUCCAUGCCAUGCUCGCCCACGCAAAACGCUCCGCAGGGCUGGAGCAGCCAGAGAAGCCUGGGUCCUGCCCUUGGGGCGCUUCCACCCUGGAGCCCACCCACUGACCAGAUUGAGAGCCAGUCAUAGAGGGAACAGAGCCAGCAGACAAGCCCGCGUCUGUCCCGAAGGCGAAGGCGCGCGGUUGCGCAAGCUCAGGCCUCUGCAGCUAGAGGAGGGUGGGUUGGUUACUCAUCCUCUGCAGCUCCUGGGGAGAGGCUGAAAACCAAAAAGGAUUUCCAGGAUGAGAGGAGGUUAGGUCCCAGGGCUUGUAGAGGAAAGGGCCCGCGUACAGAAAAGGAGACACUGAAAAGAAGGAUGGUAAGAAACAGAGGCAAGGUGACAGCGGUAGUGACAACGGUGAGUUCCUGGCCCUGGCUUUAGUCACGGCUAUUACCCCAGAGGGGACCGUUGAGCUGGCCUGGUGACCAGCAGGCCCAGCACAGGCUAGUGUUUCCUGGAGACUGGGGGUCAGCUGUCCAGCAGUGGAAGACUUGGUCCUGAACUCCGAUGAGCCUUGAGGUCAACACAAAGUCUGCCUGAGCAGGACAGUGGUUAUCACUUAAAUAAACACACACUCAGCCCCGGAAGAAAUGCGCUGUUGGACUGCACUGCGGGUUCGCCGUGUGGUGGACAUUAACUGGGGCUCUGCUAGUUGUGGAAGGACCCUCACUGCCCAUUGCUUGGAGUCUGCUCUCCUGCCUCUCAGUGGUUGCUCUCACUUCCCUUCACUUAUCUGCUCUUAGCUUCCAGCGCCUGGAAGGAGUCAGGUCAGUCUGAGCUCCUGCAACGUUCCUCAGGUGUCAGCCUGCCUCCUGUGCCUGCACCUGCUGCCUAGGGAAUGCUGGGCUCCAGGCCACUGGUCCAUUGGCUUCCACCUGCAGGCUCCAUCACGCCUUCCUGUUAGAGGAAUCUGCUGAAAUGAAUGCCUUUGUUACCAGGACGGAAAAUGCACAUCUGAGCCGAAACCAGGACAGCCCAAAUGAACAAAAUUAAAAGCUCCAAGGAACAAGCUGACCUAGAAGUUACUUGUCCCAGUGCUUCCCCUCGAUCCAAGAUUGAGAGGAAGGGCUCAAAUCUAAUACAAUCUAGGGCUUCUCCCCCGGUCUUCUGCAGAUGCUUAGGGGAAACUCUGAGGUCCUGGAAAGCUGGGUUCUCUGCGGGGAUCCUCCCAAGGGCUGCUGCAUUCGCAGGAGGGAGGUCAGUCAUACAAAAGAGGUGUGCAGAAGGGCUGGGGAUUUAGCUUAGCGGCGUAAGUGCUUGCCUUGCAAACAGGCAGUCGUGAGUUUGAUCCCCAGUACCAAUAAAAAUGAAAAAAAGACAACAACAAAAAAAAAGGUGUGCGGUAUUUGCAGGUAAUUUCCCUAAGCCCAGUGCAUGAUUCUCCCCAGACUAUUUUUACAAGUUAAAAGCAUUUUUAUGGCUCUUUUAAGAGCAGUUGCUUCUGGAUUUUCCCUGUCCUCUGUGCCAUCUUCUCUUUCGGCACUGUCCCCCACACAGGUCUCUGGUGAGGGAGCCAAACAAAGCCAAGGAAGAAUCUGAAAGAGGAAUGCGGGGCUGGACCCCUUCAGACAAGGCUGCUUAGAGAUUUAGCUGCUGAACUCACCCCUGCCCCAGGCCCUGGGUGAGGCUUCUUCCCAAUCUGUAACCCCAUGUGAUUAUGCUGUACAUUACCAGGCUCUAACUCAAAUCACAGAUAGCCCCUUUGAUCUAGAAGUUUCUCUGAAUUAUCCCCCCCCCCCCACUUCUUUCUCUUCCACCCCUGGUCAGCACUUUAUAUAUCUACUUAUGAAAGUAAAUAUCACAUUUCCUUCUGAGGCUCUAACUGCCUUUAUUUAUUUAUUUAUGGUACCAGCAAUCGAACUCAUGACCUCAUGCUACCUAGACCCACGACUUCUAUCAAAAUGAGGAUUGGGGGCUGGACUAUUUUCAGAUGAGGAAGCGAAGGUUCUCAGGGUUUAAUCCAAAGCUACACACAGUUAGCUUAGGAUCGUAGUUUGUCCAAUUUAAAAUCCAAUGGUCUUUUUCUGCCUCAGUUUCUUUAUUUGUAAAGUAAAAGUAUUAACAGCGUGCACUUCUAGUGUUCUUUUUAGCAUUCUAGGAGGGGCAGAUGCUUUAAUAUGUGCCAAGUGUUUGAGGCUGUCAUGGGUCAUGCAGCUGCAGGACUCUCGCAAAAGCCUGAGCCCUGUUGCUGGGGCUUCCAGCCUCCAAAUCUGUGAACUAAGUAAACUCCUUUUCUUUGUAAAACAUAAACAAGGGUCAGGGGCUUAGUUCAGUGGCAUGGGGCCUGCCUGGCAAGUGUGAGGUCAUGAGUUUGAUUCCUGGUUCCAAAAAUAAAUAAAUAGACACAAAUAAAACCCAGGGCCUGCUAUCCAAAGUAAACUUCCACUAAUAUUGUGGUGCUUCUUUACUAUUUCAGGCCCUGGAUUCCUGACUCCUUUGAGGAGCCUACUUCUAGACUUGGGGAGUAUCAGGGAAAAGAGGAAUGAACCCCAUUGUUUUCUAGCUCCCAACAGGUUGGUGAGAGUAAAACAGACACUGUAAGCAACAGAACUGAGCAGCCUGCCUGAAGCUUUCAGAUACAGAUAAAUUCAUUAAGGGGAGAGGUGACCCCUUUGCAAAAUGCUGAGGGCACUAAGAACAAAGACUUCUGAAAUAAGUCUAUAACAAGGUUAUAAGGCAACAUUCUACUCUGCACAGUGUUAACGGCCUUCUCUUUUGAGGUGGUGCUAGAUGCCUCUUGCCUUUUAUUGUAUCUUUACCAAGCAAUUACAGUACAAGACAGGGCCAGUACAUGGAGAAAGAAGGGACCCCAGAGGUUAGGGCUACAGGCUGCAGGGAGAACUCUGAAGACAAGAAGCCCUGGGGCCCAGGAAGUGCUGUCUGGGGCAGAGACCUGCUCUGUAGCUCAGCUUCUCUUUGACAUAGGUUCCUAUAAAUGACAGGGCCACAUGUGGUGGUGCAUGUCUGUAAUCCCAACACUCUGGAGGCUGAGGCAGGAGGCUUGCUGGGAGUUCAAGGCUGGCCUGAGCAAUUAAUGAUUAAAAGCCAAAAUAAAAAAAGGUCUGGCUGGGGAGAUAGCUCAGUGGCACAGUGCCUGCCUGGCAAGCACGAGGUCUUGAGUUCAAUCCUCAGUACCAACAAACAAACAAACAUAAAAGGACUGCAGAUGUAGCUUGUGAGAAGGCCCUGGAUAUGAGACAGAAAUAGGUUCCUGCCAUCCUGGGAAUUUUGGAGGAAACCAAAACGAUCAUGUGGGUGACUUUGGCACCAAGUCAGCUGGCUACUGCUGAAAAGAGGCUGACAGAGGAUGCAAAAUAUAAUCAGGAAAAAAGAUAGACCCUGUACAAUAGCUUUCCAAACUUAAUCAAGGGAACUUGUCACCCCAAGCUCUUGAUGCUGUUGAAAAAUAUUGGAAACCAUGUUCUAACAGUUGCAAUUUUUGCUAAUCAGUCCCCACUCAGAAAUAAACAAUAAGCAACAACAACAGCAACAAAAACCCCAUGGCCACAAAUAAAAUAAAAGGUUGAAAACA